UUAAUUGUAGAAGAGAAAAUUGGUCUGGUGGGCCUAACUUUUCACAGUAUGAAUUCUUACUUUAGAAUGGUGUCACCUUAUCUUUUUAGUUACAGGUUUUAAAAUGUCACUAGCACUCUGAAGGCAACAUUGAAGAUUGCUUUUACUUUUGAUGAGAUAAUUUAACGGGCUAUGAAAAUGCCAGGAAUUUUAUGAAAAUGUCUUCAAGGUUUUCAUCGCCAUCUCUACCAGUGUUCCUCUCACCAGAGCCAGCUGACUUAGGCUCUCUGACAAGGGCUUCUUGUUCACUAAAUGAACUGGACAAUAUUUCCCACCUUUUGAGGAAAAUAGCAACCGAUAUCAAUGAAAUUAAAGGAAUGAAAGCAGCUAUUUUGACAGUGGAAGCAAAUCUUUUUGAUUUGAAUGUUAGAGUGUCCCAAAAUGAAGCAAAAAUUUCAUCUUUAGAGGUUAAAAUGAAUGAAUAUUUAACAUCAACAUCUGAAUGCAGCAGACAGUUGGAAGAUUUUGAAGAGAGAAUAGAGUUUGAGUCGCAGUCAAAGACUACUGAUGUAAAAAUAAUUGGCUUCCUAACCAAUGUUGAGAAAGGAACUCAACAGAGGCAAUUGUUAUCCCGACUGCAAAUUGAUCCAGUAACGGUAGACACAAUGGAGCUGA
rnacentral:lncRNA from 1 species